rnacentral:lncRNA from 1 species
GAGUGUUAAUCUUUUACUGUGUUUGGCCAAAAAAGGAUUGACUUCUUUGAAGGCAAUCAAUCAUGCGUUGCAGUUGAAAUUGUUAUUUGAGUAGGCAUUCCAGUAAUUAUUCCAUUCUUGUCCAAUAAGUUAUUGGGAUUUCGACAAGGUAAUAAAUAACCUCUAAUUGAAACUGCCUUUUCUGCAGCUUUGGCCAACUCAAGAGUAGGAAUUAACAAUCCAAAAAGAGGGAGUCCACAGAAGUAAACCGGACAACGGCAACAACUUUCUACAACAACAAUCCCCAUCUUUUCACUAACAAUAACAUCCCAGUCUUUGUGGAAAACCGACAAACAAAUCGAAGGAGGUGAUAAUCGACCAGUCAUGAUCGAAAGAUAACCAAAUAAACACACUCAACUGGGUGAAACGGAAAUGGCUAAUAUGUUUACCGCCGUGCUAUAUCUUGCAACCAUCCUUCCCUAGACAGAGUCCUUUCCGAGAGGUGUAUUGCUUAAAAAAAAUUUAUUUUUGUUUUGAAGGUGUAACGAUUGCUUUAAUAUGAUACGAUUUACUUUUUCAGUUUUGGCAAAUGCAGAGACUUGCAUUGAAAUGGGAGUGUCCAGCUUUAAAACAAGUAGCUGAUUCGAUCCUGUUAGCUGAUGAUAAUUCGGAUCAUUCAACAUCCAAAUCACCAAUUAUUGAUUUAGUGCUGUGAAUUUGGUUCACGCUAGAAAAAAAAUCACCCUCAUCUUUUCUACAUAUUUCUGGAGGAGCUGUUCCACCUCAUUCGACCCCACCGACGUCUACCUGAACUGUGUCAAAAUCCUUUUGUGUUCACAGCAAAGUACUCAGCAGAUCCGCCUGUCGUUUAAAUCCUGGAUUCCUCUUCUGGUUCAAGAAUCAACAUAGUAGCCCAUCUGUGGAAUCGCGUAGAGAGUCGAAAAUCGCACGUAGCUCAGCUGGUGGUCUCACCAAUUCCUGCCAAUAUUGACAGCAGAAAUGAACCGCGGGCCUGCGGCUACAGGAGAAAAUUUCUAAAUCAAUUAUCGUACAAGUUGGAAGAAAAAGUGUUGGAAUUAUUGGUUAUCUUACUACAGAAUUAACGUAUAUCUUCUCUGCGGGAGUCAAAAUCUUUGACGAAAUAAAGUGCGUUCGGGAUGAAGCGGAACGCGUACGCCUCAUGAAGAACGGAGUCAAUAUUCUGAUUGCAGUCGGUCACGCAAGUUAUCUAAAAGAUAUGGAAAUUGCUGGAAAAGUUCCAGACAUUGACCUGGUUGUAGGCGGUCAUACUAACACUUUUCUUUGGAAUGCACUUCAACGGGGUCCGUUUGCCGGUUUGCCCGUUACAAAUUUAAAUCCGUUUCUUGUGCAAAUCAUCAUCUCUUCAUCUGGCGAGAACGCAUCCGAUUUCCAAAAGUCCUUUUGUCCAACAGUCGAGUCCGAGCUGGCCGGGUUUUCAGGUUUUCAUCAUCAUUAUCGCGAGUUAUUUGUUAAGAUAAUCUUGUAAGACGAACUACACGUUGGGUACCCAGACCAGACGUUUGAAACCUUGACCAGCCACGACUUCAAAAUCAUCUUGAAUACCAGAAAAGAGAUAAUGGAGAACAACGGCGUACGUCAUUUCAACUUCAAGACCUUUUAUAACAUGUCUGAGCCUCAUCAUUGCUGUCCAAUAUGCACAUCGUUUGGUGCAGCCAGCUGGUGGACGUGUGGUGAGCUGUUGCAUGCAGACUCAUUGCUUUUGAGACAGUGGACAGAAAGGCGUUGCUGAUGGUGUUUUUCGCUGUUAUAUUUAAAAGUGAUAAGGAAUUUCAACGCCAUUCGACCAAGCUGAAUCAAAAGUGAACAAUUCCAAAACAGCAUGUCGAAGAUCUUUUUUCUCCACGUGAUUGCUGCCGUGUCAUGAAGAUGCGUAUGUGAGAUGGUCUCUAUUAUAAUGCAAGACCAAAAUAUUGCAGGAUUCUAUGGUGAGGUUGUUUGAGAUGUUUAUGGUGUUGGUAUGCAGUGGCAGUUAUACUCAUUUUCCAGUUGACAGAUGCACUUAAAUGGAGCUUGUGUAGACUUGCAAUUCAACAUCACACUUCAAUGUCUUAAUUCAUUAUUUGCCAAUUUUUCGCCAUCCCAUCUUUCUCGUCUUAAGGGUACACUAGAAACUUUGGGAUCUGAGGGUCAAAACAUCUGAAGUAAAAAUUAGAUUAAAUGAGAAA